rnacentral:rRNA from 1 species
UACGGAGGGUGCAAGCGUUACCCGGAAUCACUGGGCGUAAAGGGCGUGUAGGCGGACCGCUAAGUCCGGCUUUGAAGACCGAGGCUCAACCUCGGGAAUGGGCUGGGUACUGGGGGUCUGGACCUCUGGAGAGAGAACUGGAAUUCCUGGUGUAGCGGUGGAAUGCGUAGAUACCAGGAGGAACACCAACGGCGAAGGCAGGUUCUUGGACAGAAGGUGACGCUGAGGCGCGAAAGUGUGGGGAGCAAACAGG